rnacentral:rRNA from 1 species
AUACAACUUUCAACAACGGAUCUCUUGGCUCUCGCAUCGAUGAAGAACGCAGCGAAAUGCGAUAAGUAAUGUGAAUUGCAGAAUUCAGUGAAUCAUCGAAUCUUUGAACGCACCUUGCGCUCCUUGGUAUUCCGAGGAGCAUGCCUGUUUGAGUGUCAUUAA